CAUUGUAGGUUGUCCGUGACUAUUACCCC
rnacentral:piRNA from 1 species